GAAUCUGCCUGGUAGUGGGGGACAACGUUUCGAAAGGAACGCUAAUACCGCAUACGUCCUACGGGAGAAAGCAGGGGACCUUCGGGCCUUGCGCGGGUCAGAUGAGCCUAGGUCGGAUUAGCUAGUUGGUGAGGUAAUGGCUCACCAAGGCGACGAUCCGUAACUGGUCUGAGAGGAUGAUCAGUCACACUGGAACUGAGACACGGUCCAGACUCCUACGGGAGGCAGCAGUGGGGAAUAUUGGACAAUGGGCGAAAGCCUGAUCCAGCCAUGCCGCGUGUGUGAAGAAGGUCUUCGGAUUGUAAAGCACUUUAAGUUGGGAGGAAGGGCAGUGAGCGAAUACCUUACUGUUUUGACGUUACCGACAGAAUAAGCACCGGCUAACUCUGUGCCAGCAGCCGCGGUAAUACAGAGGGUGCAAGCAAUCGGAAUUACUGGGCGUAAAGCGCGCGUAGGUGGUUCGUUAAGUUGAAUGUGAAAGCCCCGGGCUCAACUAGGAACCGCAUCCAAAAC
rnacentral:rRNA from 1 species